rnacentral:rRNA from 1 species
CUUGGGUUCGAUUCCGGAGAGGGAGCCUGAGAAACGGCUACCACAUCUAAGGAAGGCAGCAGGCGCGUAAAUUACCCAAUCCUGACACAGGGAGGUAGUGACAAGAAAUAUCAAUAUAAGACUUUUGUGUCUUGUAAUUGGGAUGAGCGGAACUUAAAUCGCUUCUCGAGUAUCAAUUGGAGGGCAAGUCUGGUGCCAGCAGCCGCGGUAAUUCCAGCUCCAAUAGCGUAUAUUAAAAUUGUUGCGGUUAAAACGCUCGUAGUUGGAUAUCUGUGAGCGGGUUCCGGUCCUUCCCAGUGAAGAUUACACGGAACUCUGCUCGCAUUCGUUCAGGGAGGGUGGAUGCACUUCACUGUGUGACCACAUGAUCUGAAUUUUUACUUUGAGGAAAUGAGAGUGUUCCAAGCAGGCAAUCGCCGUGAAUAUGAUAGCAUGGAAUAAUAGCACAGGACUCUUGGUUCAAUGCUGUUGGUUUGUUGGACUAGAGUAAUCACAAUAAGGAUAGUUGGGGGUAUUCGUAUUUAACUGUCAGAGGUGAAAUUCUUGGAUUUUUUAAAGACGAACAAUUGCGAAGGCAUCUACCCAGGAUGUUUUUGUUGAUCAAGAACGAAAGUUAGGGGAUCGAAGACGAUCAGAUACCGUCCUAGUCUUAACCUUAAACUAUGCCGGCUGGAGAUUGGGGUCGUCAGAUUUGUGACGUCCUCAGCAUCCUAUGAGAAAUCUAAGUCUUUGGGUUCCGGGGGGAGUAUGGUCGCAAGGCUGAAACUUAAAGGAAUUGACGGAAGGGCACCACCAGGAGUGGAGCCUGCGGCUUAA